rnacentral:lncRNA from 1 species
AGAAUGAUUCUGGAUUGAUGAUUAUUUCUGUGUUUCCAGUUUACAUAUAUACAUGGUGCGCAUCAUUAGGAUGCAGAAUCUCCUAUGAUAAUCCCUACAAAUCAGGGAUUGUACUACCUACCACUUACUACUAAUAUACAGCAUAAAUUAGGCUAGAAAGAUCAACUAGGACAGCUAAUCUAACUCUAAUUUCUAUGCCCACUCACACCCUAAUUAUCGCUGUAAUUCUACACUCCCCCUCAAACUUGGCUGUAGAUGUUAUGGAGGCCAAGCUUGCCUUGUAGAUCAUCAAACAUAUCUCUAGGUAGAGCCUUAGUAAGGAUGUCUGCAAUCUGCUGCUUGGAUGGAACGUACUCCAUCUCGAAUUCCUUGCUGUUUACCUUCUCAGAAAUGAAGUGACGAUCCAGUUCAACAUGUUUAGUACGGUCAUGAUGAACUGGAUUUCUCACUAUGCUUAAUGCUGCCUGACUAUCACAUAGCACUUUAACUGGACCCUUAUCCUCCAUCUUAAGCUCCUUUAAAAUGCGCCUUAACUAAAUUCCUUCACAAAUGCCAUCAGCUAAUGCCCUGUACUCUGCUUCGGCACUGCUUCUCGAGACAACAGUCUGCUUCUUACUCCGCCAGGUUACUAGGUUUCCCCACACAUAGGUACAGUAUGCUGAGGUUGAUCUUCGAUCUGUAAGGUCUCCAGCCCAGCUCGCAUCCGUAUGAAUAGAAAUUCUGCGUCCAGUGUGUUUCUGGAUCAGCAGUCCAACACCUGGUGUGCUCUUUCGAUAUCUCAAAAUCCUCAUCACUGCCUCCAUAUGCUCUUCAUUUGGAUUGUGCAUAUGUUGGCUCACGAUGCUCACUGGAAAUGAGAUGUCUGGACGAGUGUGUGCUAAGUAUAUUAGCUUUCCUACCAACUUCUGAUAGCUCCCCCUCUCUACUGGCGCUGCUUCUUGGCCAAGAGCAAACUUCAGAUUGUGUUCCAUUGGUGUGCUUGCUGGUUUGCACCCAAUCAUUCCAGUUUCCCUUAACUAGUCUAGAACGUACUUUCGUUGGGAUAAACUCAGUCCCUUGCUUGAUCGUGCUACUUCAAUGCCUAGGAAAUACCUCAAAUUUCCUAGGUCUUUUAUUUCGAAUUCCAGUGCUAGUUUUUUCUUGAGAUUUCUGAUUUCCUUUUCAUCAUCCCCUGUAAUGAUAAUGUCAUCAACAUACACGAUAAGGAUAGCCUUUCUCCCUUCCUGAUCUUGCUUUAUAAACAUAGUAUGAUCAGUUUGACACUGAUAAUACCCGUACCCUUUCACUGAUUGUGAGAACCUUUCGAACCAUGCUCGUGGUGACUGCUUGAGGCCAUACAGUGCUUUUCUCAGUCUACACACCAUUCCUGGUUCAGUGGUGACACCCGCUGGAACACUCAUAUACACCUCCUCACUUAAAUCUCCGUUUAGGAAAGCAUUCUUCACGUCUAGUUGGUAGAGGGGCCAAUCUAGAUUUAUUGCAAUGCUUAGGAGAACUCUUACAGUUUUAAGCUUGGCUACUGGAGCAAAUGUCUCCUCGUAGUCCACUCCAUAGCACUGUGUGAAUCCUCUAGCUACGAGUCGAGCCUUAUACCUCUCAAUCUUUCCUUCUGAAGUAUACUUCACUGUGAAUAUCCAUUUGCAAUCGACUGUGGAUUUUCCAGCUGGUAGUUGUACUGUAUCCCACGUCUGAUUCUUGAGCAGUGCAUUUAUCUCUUCCAACACUGCUGCCCUCCAGUGAGGUAUUUUCAUAGCUUCUUCGAUGGAGUGAGGGAUUUCUGUGUUGUCGAGAGUCCCCACAAACGCCUUGUACUUCUGGCUUAGAUUUCCAUAUGAAACCCAUCUCUCAAUAGGAUGAGUUGUGCACGAUCUAGUUCCUUUUCUGUGAGCAAUUGGAAGGUAGACUGUAUCAUCUACCUGAGUCUCCUCUAUAUCAGCAGCCUGAGUUUCCUCUGUUUCCUCCGUUUGACCAUCAUUCCUAACCACAUCACCAGGUUCAAUCCCCUGAUUCAUUUGUGCUGACUCGCCUUCUUGGGAGGCUGAGGUCUCGUCAAAUUCCUGGUCAGGCUGAGCAUGUGUGUGUUCUGCAGUCUUCUUCCUACGCUGAUAAACCAGAAGAGGAGGUAUCUGACUGUUAUGUUCUGUGGAAGGAUUUUUGGCUAUUUUAGGAGGCUCUAGAACGACUGGGGAUGAUUCCAAGGUAAUAAUACUACCAAUGGAGGACUCAACAGUAGAAUUCUCCCCCUGAGGCUGACAGUGGGAGUAGAAAGGAUGAUGUUCAAAAAACGUAACAUUUUUUGAAUGAUAGACUUUGUGGUUACUUGGAGAAUAACACUUGUAACCACUGUGAUGGGGAGAAUAUCCCAAAAAAACACAUUUGACUGCUCUAGGAUCGAGUGUAGUACGUAGGGAUGAAUCUAAAUGCACAAAGGCUGUACAUCCAAAUACUCUAAGAGGAAGGUUGGAUGAUAGAGCAUGACUAUGGGGAAAGUUUUUGAGUAGAACACUACGAGGAGUUUUAAAUCGUAGGGUUCGAUUUGGAAGACGGUUGAUAAGAUAGGUUGCUGUGAGGACAGCAUCACCCCACAAGCUCUUUGGCGCCUUAGCAGCAAACAGCGAUGCUCUUGCCACUUCCAGCAAAUGACGGUUUUUGCGUUCAGCAAUACCGUUUUGCUUGGUUUUUGCGCUCAGCUAUCCCGUUUUGCUGGGGAGUGUAAGGGCAAGAGCUACUGUGAGCAAUACCGUUGGCAGUGAGGAAGGAGCUUAAGGAGUGAUUGAAAUAAUCCUUUGCAUUAUCAGUGUGCAGAAUUCGAAUAGGUGUUUGAAACUGAGUUUUGACUUGACUUUGGAAGUUUUGGAAAAUUUUCUGGGUUUCAGUCUUUGAUUUCAUUACAUAUGUCCAUGUUAAGCGGGUGUGAUCAUCGAUGAAGGUGAUGAACCAUCGAAAACCAUUACUUGUUUUGACAGAACAUGGACCCCAAAUAUCGCUGUGAAUGAUGGAAAAAGGAUGUGUUGGCUUAUAUGGCAGACUAUGAUAAACAAUCUUUGUUUGUUUUGCAAGUUGACACACCUCAUAAUAGAAAGAAUUCGGAUUUUUAUUGAUAAAAAGCUUAGGAAAUAGUUUUUUGAGAUAAGAGAAACUAGAGUGGCCUAACCGAUAGUGCCACAUCAUGACGGGACAUUCUAACUGGCUUGACCUAGAACUUAAGUGUGCUGACUUGGAACCCUCUUCUCCUGGUCUAACUUCGCUUAUUGUCUUCAGACAGUACGGUCCAUCACACAGCUCAAACCUGCCAAUCAUCCUCUGAGAUCCCACCUCCUGCAAUACACAUUGUGAUGGAUCACAGGUUAAUCGACAUUUAAGAUCCUGUGUAAUCUGACUAACAGAAAUCAGAUUGCAAUUUAGCUUUAGAACGUAUAGAACAGGGAACACAGCCUGAUUAGGGGUCAGGUAGGCUGUCCCAAUUCCUUCGACUGGAGCGAUGGUUCCAUCCGCGAUACGAACUCCUGCUUUCCCUACAUGAGCCUGGAUAUUGUGGAGUAGCUGUCUAGAACCAGUCAUGUGUUCAGUAGCCUGUGCAUGAGCCUCCCUCUCUGCCUUAGGUUUCCAGUCAGCAGGCUUCCCAUGUAGUUUCCAGCACAGGUUUCCUUAGUGUCCUGUCUUGUUACAGUGAGUACACUGUGGACGCAGCUUUCCAGACUUGGUAUACGCGUUCCCUUGAUUUCCAGUGUAGUGAGUGGCCAGGGCAGAACCCUCCACUGGAAUGCUUUUAGACUCAGGGAUCAUGAGCUUCCUCCUGCUCUCUUCCCAUUUGAUUUCAGCGAACGCCUCCCUGACUGAUGGAAGAGGAAGACGGCCCAUGAUCCUUCCCUUGGCCUCAUCGAGGGCCUGAUUCAGUCCCAGGAGGAAACGGAUGGUCCGUUUGGUCUGGAGGAUUUGUCGAUACAAUUCUGCAUCUUCUGUACACUUCCAUAGGUGUACUUUCCACAGGUGGACAUCGUACAGAUCCUGCUGCAGCCAGCAUUUGCUCAGUUCGUCAUAGUACUGAGUAACUGACUUUUCCCCUUGUUUGAGAUCAUGGAGUCGCAUCUCCACCUCAAAAGCUUCAGCCUUGUUUGCCUGAUUGGAGUAUGUGUGUUUGGCUCCAUCCCAGAUCUCCUGGGCAGUUUGGUGAAGAAGAAAUUUUUCACCAAUAGACGUGGUCAUUGAAUUCAGAAGCCACGACUGGACCAUAUUGUCCUCAAUAUCCCAGUUGACAAAUUCUGGGUCAUCCUCUGCUGGCUGCUUUGUCUUUCCAGUCAGGUAGCCUCUCUUUCCCUUGCCUGAGAUGAAUUUCAGGACGGACGAAGACCACUGGAGAUAGUUAUCUCCGUUGAGGCGAUGGUUGGUGAUACAGCCUAGGACUGUAUCGGAGGCAGCUGGAGUUGAGUGCUUCUGGGAGGGAUCUCCUGAAGUCACAGACGGCGAGGAUGGGGCUUGAACUUCAUCGUUCGUGUUCGCCAUUAGAUCAGAAUGAGAGAGAGAGAGAGAGAGAUAGGUAGAUGGAGCUGGAUUCAAGGUCUGAAACUAAGCUCUGAUACCAUAUAGAAUUCCAGAGUUAGAAUGAUUCUGGAUUGAUGAUUAUUUCUGUGUUUCCAGUUUACAUAUAUACAUGGUGCGCAUCAUUAGGAUGCAGAAUCUCCUAUGAUAAUCCCUACAAAUCAGGGAUUGUACUACCUACCACUUACUACUAAUAUACAGCAUAAAUUAGGCUAGAAAGAUCAACUAGGACAGCUAAUCUAACUCUAAUUUCUAUGCCUACUCACACCCUAAUUAUCGCUGUAAUUCUACAGGUCUAUCAUUUUUUUCAUAGGUGACAAGCAUGUGGCAACAUUUCUGAGCCUUUUCUUUUAUUCAGUUCUAUCAAGGACCCUUUGACAUCUGAGUUUUAUCAUGGACAUUUUUAUUGAUAUAACCUAACUGUUCCUUCA